GGAAACGGCACUCCUCAUCUGUUUCUGGGUGAGCAAAGACCACGCUAACUUCAAACAAACUCUUUCCAUCAGUGGGAACACCCAACUCCUCUGACAACUGGGGAUGAAUAAUCCACUUAUAAGCUUCUUUCAGCUGAACAAUGUCAUCCUUUGCCAAGGAAAGGUCCAGUUUUCCCAUUUCCUGUUUUACCAGCAGCCAAGCAGCAUGCUCCCUAACAGACAGCUGUGGUGGUAGUGACACAGAAAAUACGAAACUGGUGAACUGAAAGUCAG
rnacentral:lncRNA from 1 species